rnacentral:rRNA from 1 species
GGCGGACGGGUGAGUAACACGUAGACGACCUGCCUCGAUGCCGGGGAUAACCCGCCGAAAGGCGAGCUAAUACCCGAUAAGCUCCCGCGGUUUAGAAGCGCGAGAGAAAAGCUCCGACGCAUCGAGAGGGGUCUGCGGCCUAUCAGGUAGUUGGUGGGGUAAGAGCCUACCAAGCCGAUGACAGGUAGGGGGCCUGAGAGGGUGACCCCCCACACGGGGACUGAGAAACGGCCCCGACUCCUACGGGAGGCAGCAGUAAGGGAUAUUGCACAAUGGGCGCAAGCCUGAUGCAGCAACGCCGCGUGCCCGAUGAAGGCCUUCGGGUCGUAAAGGGCUUUUCUGACUGAGGACAAAGACUGUAAGUCAGGAAUAAGUGUCGGCUAACUACGUGCCAGCAGCCGCGGUAAAACGUAGGACGCAAGCGUUAUCCGGAGUUACUGGGCGUAAAGCGCGGGAAGGCGGCAGGCCAAGUCUGAGGUGAAAGCGCCCGGCUCAACCGGGCGAGGCCCUUGGAAACUGGUCGGCUGGAAGGCGAGAGAGGUGGGCGGAAUUCCGGGUGGAGUGGUGAAAUGCGUAGAGAUCCGGAGGAACACCAGAGGCGCAGGCGGCCCACUGGCUCGCCCUUGACGCUGCACCGCGAAAGCUAGGGGAGCGAACGGGAUUAGAAACCCCGGUAGUCC